CAUCAUUACCUUAUAAUGAAACACAUGUAUAAGCUACUUUGAAUUAGUUAAAGUCAAACAGGCUCAAUCUGACAUUUUGUAAAUCUCUCAAAUGGAGAAUUCACCUUCUUGCAAGAAUUGUGACAAGACGACAAUCGUUCCAGAUGAUGUAACAGGUAAUUUAGUCUGUACAUCAUGUGGGGUUAUUCAAGAUUUUGUUAAUUUUGAUCCUCAAAUUGGUGGUAUUAGUGGCAUAGCUGGAACAUACGUUAAAACUGGCACAUCAGGUACUGGAACUCUCUAUAAUUACAAACAAACAAAAAUUUACCUAGCCCAGAAAAUAAUUGAAGAUUUAAUGUACCAAUUAGGAUUUUCUUCCUCAAAAUCUAGUGAAGUUAAACUUAUGGUAGAGAAAAUUACUGAUAGUGAAUAUGGACAGGGUAGAUGGUUUUCAGUACUUGUUGGUGCAUGUGCUUAUGUUGUAAUGAGGCAAGAUGUAAAGCCAUUGGCUAUUGUUCAAGUAGCAAAUUUGGUGGGGUGUGAUAUUUAUGAAUUGGGUAGAAUGGUUUAUAGGGUUGUUGAUUUUCUUGAUUUGAAGUUGCCUGGAUUCGAUAUUGUGGAUUCGUUCGAGCAUUAUAUUAGGAAUUCCCCGAGUUUUAGUGAGGUUUCUGAGGAUUUGAUUGGGAGGAUGUUGAAGCAGGGUGUGUUUUUGGUGCAGUGUUUGGUGAAGUGGUACGUGACGACGGGAAGGAGACCGUUGCCUGUGGUGGUGGCAGUGUUGGUGUUUGUUGCACAGUUGAAUCAAAUCGAUGAUGUGACGAUUGAGGAUGUUGCGAACGAGUUACAAGUGGCAGCUGUUACUUGUAAGUUGAGAUAUAAGGAGCUUUUGGAGAGGCUCGUGAAGGUUGCUCGAGCUUUGCCUUGGGGUGAGGAUGUUACUGUCAAGAACAUUAUGAAGCACGCGUCGUUUGUUAUUCAAUACAUGGAGUUGAAGUCAAUGUCAAAGAAUAGUAAUGAUAAAAGGAAGAGUUUUGAGGAUGGUGGAUUUGAUCUGGAUUAUUUGAUUGAUGAUUGUUUGAGCAGCGGAAAUGAUUAUGCUUUAGAUGUUAAUGACACCGAAAAUAACUCACAGUACUUUCAGAUGGAUCAUGCAUCAAGUUUGAGUAUUGAAAGUCCAAAUAGAUUCCAGAUAUCGCCGGAGUGUUUGGCAAUGAUUUAUUCAAAGAUUAAGAAUGAUAUGUAUGUGGUGGAGUCUACAGAUAGCAGAGAUAAUAACAUUAGGAAAAGGAAGAAAAGUUAUGACAUAUUUUCAUACACAGAUUGGUGGAAGGGCGAAUCAGAAAUGAGCAAAAAGCUUUUAGUGAAGCAAAUAGUGGAGAAAGAUGUGGGAUUGCGUGCUAUGCCUCCUUCUUAUGAUAGUGGUUGUUUGGCAUAUGAAAGGAGAAAAGAGAAGAUAAAGGCAGCAAAGUUUCGAAUCCAUAAGACAAUGUAUCCUUCAGAUGCUGGUUCAAUUGAUAAUAUUGAACUAGGCUCCCUUGAACAUGUAAAUACUGGAAAGAAAAGGAGAAGGAAAACGAAAGUUAAUGUUGAUUGGGAGGAUUUCGUUAUUGAAACCCUUCUCCUUCAUCAGGUGAAAGAAGAGGAGAUAGAGAAGGGGUAUUAUAAAACCCUGUUGGACUUGCAUGUUUUCAACUAUUGAAGAUCUAAGUUGUCAAUAUAUGUAAAGCAAUUCUUGCAGAAAAAAAUUCUUUAGUUUCUCUGACUGAUUCUGGAGAGUAUAGGAGCACUCAAAAUAACCAUCAAGAAUGAAGGAGGGUCCCAAAAGAGCGUACGUGAAGUUGAAGUAGAGCUUCCAACAGUAGUGAUGGUCGUAGCUGCUAAUCGAUCUGCUAAUUUGUUUAGUUCUCCGUAGACGUGACGUACCGUAGGAUCACCCAGCUUCCAGAGGAGGGACCUGCAAUCAUCCAAAAAUGAUGAGUUUUGCUUAUUAAGAGAACAUGGUAGUUAAGCUACUUGUUUAGCGUCAACAUUAAUCUCCAGUGGGUGUAAAUUAUAUUGAAAUGCUAAUGUGAGACCUGUUAGAAGAGCAUGCAGUUCACAUGUCAAAAGCAUGAGUUAUGUGUGGUUCCUGUAAAUCCUACAACCCAGUUUCCCUCACUAUUCCUAAAGACCCCAUUUAGACCACUAAUGUUCGUAUCUAUAUCCAACAUACCAUCAGCAUUAAGCAUGUAAUUAGGGUAUUUGAGAGGAUUCCAUUUUACAUAUAGAGGAAUGGUUGAGUGUCGGGGUUUAUUAGUCCCUGCAAGGAGCCAAUAUUCGCGUGCUUGUUGUGCAACAAUGUGAAAUAUAACAAAGAAAGUUUCCCUUCACAUAGGAAUUUGUUUCUUUGGGUCCAGAUAUCCCAAAGGCAGAAGGGAAGGAAUGCCUUUGAAGGUAUAAGAUCAAAACCAUUAGGAGGGAGCAAAUGCACAAAUGCAGAAAGCCAGUUAAACGGGUGUUGAUUAUUGCUGCCAAGCAGCUGAACUUUUGUGUAAUACCAAGUUCAAUCUAUAGUGAUACAACUUUGGAGCAGUAAAGAAACAGAUGACUGAUAUUUUCAGCCUCAUUUGAAUCAUACAACCUAAAGUUAGGUGAUGGAAUCAAAGUAAUGUGAUGUAGGCAACUGGAUGUGCGCAGUCGUGCAUGAUUGAACAGCCAAAGAAAGUACUUGAGCUUUGGUGGAAGUUGUAGUUUCCAAAUCCAAUUAAAAGAAGUAGGAGUACUGAUGAGUACUGAUGUGGGUACUGGACUGUACUUUAGCUAGAGCUUGAAAGCAAGAUUGAACUGUGAAGCACCCAGACUCCGUUAAGACCCCAAGUAAUACAAUCAUAAGUGUUAGUAUACUGCGGAAAAUAUACAGACUGAAUCAGUUUUAUGAUUGAUUCUGGAAGAUCAAAGGAAAGAGCAGAAAAGUUCCAGCUGCUAUUGGAUCGAUACUGGCUAAUAUUGUUAUGCAUCUCACCGUAUUAUUUGUUGUAGUUACUGUUCCUUUUUUCAGAAUUGACAUGAUUUGUAUAGUAUUUUGCCAUGGCUUUUUCACUUACGCUAUUUCUUUUUCCGACCUGCUUUGAAAUGUUUUUUCAUGAGCCGAGGGUCUAUCAGAAACAACCAUUCUACCUCCCAAGGAAGGGGUAAGGUUUGCAUAUGCCCUCCCCAAACCUCACUUGUGGGAUUACACUGGAUACGUUGUUAUUGUUAUGCAUCUCAUGUUUGAGAAGAGGUCCCUGAAUAAGAUUGCGGAUGGACUGAUGGGUUUUAUCCAUGGAUCAUGCCAAAAGUUUAUGUGCUCACCCCUGGCAGGUCUCCAAAGUAAUCCUUUUUUGGCACUAUGGCCAUCCUAGCUGAAUGAUGCUGAAGAGAAAUUGGUUUGUUGAGUAGUAGUACGAUGUAAGUACUUAUUGCGCGGUACAGCAGCCCACAUAGUAAUGUGAGUAAAACAGUCUCCAUGCAGAUUCAUAGUUUGAAGGCUCUGUAUCCCUAGUCCUCCAUUUUAUUUGGUCGUAGUAAUGGUGAACCACUUAACAAGAUGUAAUAUUUUCCUAAAAGGAGUAGUUCCCCAAUAAAAAUUACGUUCCAUACCUUUAAUUAUGUAUGAG